CCUACGGGACGCACCAGUGGGGAAUAUUGCACAAUGGGCGCAAGCCUGAUGCAGCCAUGCCGCGUGUAUGAAGAAGGCCUUCGGGUUGUAAAGUACUUUCAGCGGGGAGGAAGGCGAUAAGGUUAAUAACCUUGUCGAUUGACGUUACCCGCAGAAGAAGCACCGGCUAACUCCGUGCCAGCAGCCGCGGUAAUACGGAGGGUGCAAGCGUUAAUCGGAAUUACUGGGCGUAAAGCGCACGCAGGCGGUCUGUCGAGUCGGAUGUGAAAUCCCCGGGCUCAACCUGGGAACUGCAUUCGAAACUGGCAGGCUGGAGUCUUGUAGUGGGGGGUAGAAUCCCAGGUGUAGCGGUGAAAUGCGUAGAGAUCUGGAGGAAUACCGGUGGCGAAGGCGGCCCCCUGGACAAAGACUGACGCUCAGGUGCGAAAGCGUGGGGAGCAAGCAGGAUUAGAUACCCCAGUAGUC
rnacentral:rRNA from 1 species